rnacentral:tRNA from 1 species
AGUAAAGUAAGCUAAAUUUUAAGCUAUCAGGUUCAUACCCUGCCUAUAGAGUAAUCUCUCUUUACUA